rnacentral:rRNA from 1 species
GACGAACGCUGGCGGCGUGCCUAAUACAUGCAAGUCGAACGAACCGCGACUGAGUGCUUGCACUAAGUCAAGGUGAGUGGCGAACGGGGGAGUAACACGUGGGUAACCUACCUCAUAGUGGGGGAUAACAGUCGGAAACGACUGCUAAUACCGCAUAGGACAUAGGAUCACAUGAUCCAGUGAGGAAAGGUGGCGCAAGCUAUCGCUAAGAGAUGGACCCGCGGUGCAUUAGCUAGUUGGUAGGGUAAAGGCCUACCAAGGCGAUGAUGCAUAGCCGACCUGAGAGGGUGAUCGGCCACAUUGGGACUGAGACACGGCCCAAACUCCUACGGGAGGCAGCAGUAGGGAAUCUUCCGCAAUGGACGCAAGUCUGACGGAGCAACGCCGCGUGAGUGAAGAAGGUCUUCGGAUCGUAAAGCUCUGUUGUUAGAGAAGAACAGCGCAUAGAGUAACUGUUAUGCGUGUG